rnacentral:rRNA from 1 species
AUUGAACGCUGGCGGCAGGCCUAACACAUGCAAGUCGAGCGGACGUAGGGAGCUUGUUCGUGUUUUCAGCGGCCGACGGGUGAGUCAUGCCCAGGAAUCUUACUGAUAGGGGGGGAUAACGUUCCGCCACGGGCGCUAAUACCGCAUACGAUCUGACGUAGAACGGGGGGGAUCUUCGGACCUAACGCUUUCAGAUGAGCCUAGGCCGGAUACGCUAGUUGGUGUGGUAAAGGCCUACCAAGGCGACGAGCCGUAACUGGUCUGAGAGGCUGAUCAGUCACACUGGAACUGAGACACGGUCCAGACUCCUACGGGAGGCAGCAGUCGGGAAUAUUGGACAAUGGGCGAAAGCCUGAUCCAGCCAUGCCGCGUGUGUGAAGAAGGUCUUCGGAUUGUAAAACACUUUCAGUUGGGAGGAAGGGCAGUCAGUUAAUACCUCGCCGUUUUGACGUUACCCACAGAAAAGGCACCGGCUACCUUCGUG